rnacentral:lncRNA from 1 species
GGCUCCUUCCUCAAAUUCUUUCCCCUUGAUGAAGUCAUUCAUGCCCAAAAUACAAGGCAAAGUCAUGGGGGCUCAAGAGAAAAUCCAUACCGUGGCUCGCGUUUUAGAUUCUCAUAAGUUUGAGAAUAACCAAGCAAGAAUCUUUGGCAUGUGAAUGUGGUCUGAAGGCAUCUGAGCACAAUGCCUGGCACUGGCCCGGAGUGGAUCAUGGGUGUCUCGGACAUCUUCGCAACUCUACACCAAUUAUUUUGAAACACACCAGCAGAAUAGAACCAUGUGAAUAGCUGCUUCUCAGUUAAAAGUAGGAAAAGACUCCAAAAGCUGCCCUCAAGGAACAUCCUUCCCAUGAGGAGUUUCUGCAUCGGGCCCUUCAGGCACAGCAAGGCCCCUGGGCCCAACUCCCUCAUCCCUGCGUCAUAAAGCAGCAAAGAUGGUGGGGAAUAAAGCAAGUGAAGGAGUCAGUCCCGCACAAAACGGGCUCCAGAAGCCACAGCCACUCUCCCAGUGUGGGAGCCAAGUUCAGAGACCUGGAAACACCAGCGUUCCCAGGGAGGAGGGCAGAACAAUGCCAUUUCUCCCUAGUUUAGGGAGACACCACUCCACGUCCUCUGGCCUUAAAAAGAGAGACUUCACAUAAAUGAUUUCAAUGACUCACCACACACAGAAAGUGGGCUGAGGGCUAACGCACCCAUAUAAAUGCCUGGCAAAAACACAUUAAAUGAACACACAGAUAAGCAAGAUUCUCCUGUUAUCCACGAAAUAUUCAGAAACAAAUCCAACAAGCAAUCUCUUUGCAAUCAAAAGACCAAUUCAGAGGUGCAGAUUAAAAAAUAAACAUACAACUGAACCCUUAAUACACCAAGAACCAAAUUCCACGGAAGUGUUAACAUCUCCUCGUUGUCCUGGACAGCAUUACCUUUCGUUCACUGACCCACGAGUGAACAGCUGGUCAGUGGCCAGGGCUGCUUCCUUCAGCUGGGAGGUGGUGAUGUGAUUUCACUUCCGUGGAGCUUGGUUCUUGGUGUAUUAAGGGUUCAGUUGUAUCUUGAUUUUUAAUCUGCACCUCUGAAUUGCUCUUUUGAUUGCAAAGAGAUUGCUUGCUGGAUUUGUUUCUGAAUAUUUCGUGGAUAACAGGAGAACUUCGCCUAUCUGUGUGUUCCUUUAAUGUGUUUUUCCUGGGCAUGUAAACGGGUGUCUUAGCCCUUAGCCCACUUUCUGUGUGUGGUUGAUUCAUUCUAAUCAUUUAUGUGAAGUCUCUCUUGUAUUAAGGCCAGAGGACGUGGGAUGCUGUCUCCCUAAACUCAGGGGAAAUGGCAUUGUUCUGCCCUCCUCCCUGGGAACGCUGGGGUUUCCAGGUCUCUGGACUUGGCUCCCACACUGGGAGUGUGGCUGUGGCUUCUGGAGCUCAUUUUGUGCGGGACCGACUCCUUCACUUGCUUUAUUCCCCACUGUCUUUGCUGCUUUAUGAUGCAGGAAUGAGGGAGUUGGGCCCGGGGGCCAGGCCUGUGCCUGAAAGGCUGGAUGCAGAAACUCCUCGUGGGAAGGAUGUUCCUUGAGGGCAUCUUGGAGUCUUUUUCUGCUUUUAACAGAGAAGUAGCUAUUCACAUGGUUCUAUUCUGCUAGUGAUGUUUCAAAAUAAUUGGUGUAGAGUUACGAAGACGUCCGAGACACCCAUGAUCCACUC